rnacentral:rRNA from 1 species
GUAGGUGGCAAGCGUUGUCCGGAAUUAUUGGGCGUAAAGCACGCGCAGGCGGUUCUUUAAGUCUGAUGUGAAAGCCCACGGCUCAACCGUGGAGGGUCAUUGGAAACUGGAGAACUUGAGUACAGAAGAGGAAAGCGGAAUUCCACGUGUAGCGGUGAAAUGCGUAGAGAUGUGGAGGAACACCAGUGGCGAAGGCGGCUUUCUGGUCUGUAACUGACGCUGAGGCGCGAAAGCGUGGGGGGAGCAAACAGGAUUAGAUACCCUGGUAGUCCACGCCGUAAACGAUGAGUGCUAAGUGUUAGGGGGUUUUCCGCCCCUUAGUGCUGCAGCUAACGCAUUAAGCACUCCGCCUGGGAGUACGGCCGCAAGGCUG